rnacentral:rRNA from 1 species
UAACAGCUGGAAACGGCUGCUAAUACCGCAUAAGCGCACGAGGAGACAUCUCCUUGUGUGAAAAACUCCGGUGGUACAGGAUGGGCCCGCGUCUGAUUAGCUGGUUGGCAGGGUAACGGCCUACCAAGGCAACGAUCAGUAGCCGGUCUGAGAGGAUGAACGGCCACAUUGGAACUGAGACACGGUCCAAACUCCUACGGGAGGCAGCAGUGGGGAAUAUUGCACAAUGGGGGAAACCCUGAUGCAGCAACGCCGCGUGAGUGAAGAAGUAUUUCGGUAUGUAAAGCUCUAUCAGCAGGGAAGAUAAUGACGGUACCUGACUAAGAAGCUCCGGCUAAAUACGUGCCAGCAGCCGCGGUAAUACGUAUGGAGCAAGCGUUAUCCGGAUUUACUGGGUGUAAAGGGUGCGUAGGUGGCAGUGCAAGUCAGAUGUGAAAGGCCGGGGCUCAACCCCGGAGCUGCAUUUGAAACUGCUCGGCUAGAGUACAGGAGAGGCAGGCGGAAUUCCUAGUGUAGCGGUGAAAUGCGUAGAUAUUAGGAGGAACACCAGUGGCGAAGGCGGCCUGCUGGACUGUUACUGACACUGAGGCACGAAAGCGUGGGGAGCAAACAGGAUUAGAUACCCUGGUAGUCCACGCCGU